CUAGCGACAGGCCUAACACAUGCAAGUCAGGGGCAGCACAAGGAGCAAUCUGAGGUGGCGACCGGCGCACGGGUGAGUAACACGUAUGCAACCUGCCUGUAAGCGGGGAAUAACCCGUUGAAAGACGGACUAAUACCGCAUAAUACUAAAUUACUGCAUGGUAAUUUAUUUAAACAUUUAUGGCUUACAGAUGGGCAUGCGCAUGAUUAGCUAGUUGGAGAGGUAACGGCUCCCCAAGGCAACGAUCAUUAGGGGUUCUGAGAGGAAGGUCCCCCCACACUGGUACUGAGACACGGACCAGACUCCUACGGGAGGCAGCAGUGAGGAAUAUUGGUCAAUGGACGAGAGUCUGAACCAGCCAAGUCGCGUGCAGGAAGGAUUGUCCUAUGGAUUGUAAACUGCUUUUGCAGGGGAAUAAAGUGCAUCACGUGUGAUGUUUUGUAUGUACUCUGCGAAUAAGGAUCGGCCAACUCCGUGCCAGCCGCCGC
rnacentral:rRNA from 1 species